rnacentral:rRNA from 1 species
CCUACGGGUGGCAGCAGUGAGGAAUAUUGGUCAAUGGGCGAGAGCCUGAACCAGCCAAGUCGCGUGAAGGAUGACGGCCCUACGGGUUGUAAACUUCUUUUGUCAGGGAGCAAUUGAGUCCACGUGUGGUCUUAGCGAGAGUACCUGAAGAAAAAGCAUCGGCUAACUCCGUGCCAGCAGCCGCGGUAAUACGGAGGAUGCGAGCGUUAUCCGGAUUUAUUGGGUUUAAAGGGUGCGUAGGCGGAAUAUCAAGUCAGCGGUAAAAUUGAGAGGCUCAACCUCUUCGAGCCGUUGAAACUGGUGUUCUUGAGUGAGCGAGAAGUAUGCGGAAUGCGUGGUGUAGCGGUGAAAUGCAUAGAUAUCACGCAGAACUCCGAUUGCGAAGGCAGCAUACCGGCGCUCAACUGACGCUCAUGCACGAAAGUGUGGGUAUCGAACAGGAUUAGAUACCCCUGUAGUC